GAUGAAGAACGCAGCGAAAUGCGAUAAGUAUUGUGAAUUGCAGAAUUCAGUGAAUCAUCGAAUCUUUGAACGCACAUUGCGCCCGCCAGUAUUCUGGCGAGCAUGCCUGUUCGAGCGUCAUUUCAACCAUCAAGCCCCAGGCUUGUGUUGGAGCCCUGCGGCUGCCGCAGCCUCCCAAAACCAGUGGCGGGCUCGCUAUCACACCGAGUGCAGUAGUUUACUCUUCGCUCAGGGCGUGUGGCGGGUGCUAGCCGUGAAACCCCCAACUUCUCAAGGUUGACCUCGGAUCAGGUAGGAAUACCCGCUGAACUUAAGCAUAUCAAUAAGCGGAGGA
rnacentral:misc_RNA from 1 species